GGCCCAGUAGCUCAGUUGGUUAGAGCAGUGGACUCAUAAUCCAUUGGUCCCAGGUUCGAGUCCUGGCUGGGCCA
rnacentral:tRNA from 3 species